UUUUCCUUCUCUAAACCUGCUAUCAAGGCCUGGCUUUUCCUUCUCUGAACCCGCUGUCAAGGCCUGGCUUUUCCUUCUCUGAACCCGCUAUCAAGGCCUUGCUUUUCCUUCUCUGAACCCGCUGUCAAGGCCUGGUUUUUCCUUCUAUUAAGGCCUGGCUUUUCCUUCUGUAAACCCAGCCUGGCAUUGCCCACCUGGCCCUGUGCCCCCUGAGAAUUCAUCAUUUGUCAUUCCCAAUGCUCUGAGUCUGGCUUGGCUCCAGAGAGCAAUGCUUUUCAGGGCAAGCACGAGGACUGGGGUCCAGUUGCUCUCCAGCUCUAAAAGGAAAAGCAAUUUUGCUCCAGUCCCACGUCCAUGACCUUGUCCAGCUGCUCAUAAAAUGGGAUUUAUUCAGCACCAUUCCAGGCUUUGACCUGAAAGGGAAAGAUAUCUUUGAGCUGUCCCAAAGCUUCCAGCUCCAGCCUCAUUCCAGACAGCCAACAGGGUGGAAAACGUCCCAGCCUUGCACAGAGCUGGGACAGGAUCUGUUCCCUUCACAUCAGCUGAAGGUUUGGCUUUUAGUGGCUGCAGCUUUGGGGGCUGAGCUAAAGGAGUUUAUUUUUCCACCCAGACAUGGAUCAGACACUGCUGAAGCCAGGACAUUCUAUCAAUAGAGCAGGAAGUGUAAAGCACUUUAUGUGUGAAAAGAAAUAUUAAUAUUUGAGCUAAAACUCGUGGG